rnacentral:rRNA from 1 species
AAGUCGUAACAAGGUUUCCGUAGGUGAACCUGCGGAAGGAUCAUUACCGAGUUCAUGCCCUUCGGGGUAGAUCUCCCACCCUUUGUAUACUAUACCUUUGUUGCUUUGGCGGGCCGCCUAGCUACUGGCUUCGGCUGGUAAGUGCCCGCCAGAGAACCCAAAACCCUGAAUUAUUAGUGUCGUCUGAGUAAAAUAUUUAAUAUUUAAAACUUUCAACAACGGAUCUCUUGGCUCUGGCAUCGAUGAAGAACGCAGCGAAAUGCGAUAAGUAAUGUGAAUUGCAGAAUUCAGUGAAUCAUCGAAUCUUUGAACGCACAUUGCGCCCCUUGGUAUUCCGAGGGGCAUGCCUAUUCGAGCGUCAUUAUCACCCCUCAAGCCUAGCUUGGUGUUGAGACCUGCUGUCAAGGCAGUCUCUAAAAUCAGUGGCAGUGCUGUCAGGCUCUAAGCGUAGUAAAUUCAUCGCUAUAGACACCUGGUGGCCACUCGCCAGAACCCCCCCAUUUUUUAAUGAUUGACCUCGGAUUAGGUAGGGAUACCCGCUGAACUUAAGCAUAUCAAUAAGCGGAGGAAAAGAAACCAACAGGGAUUGCCUCAGUAACGGCGAGUGAAGCGGCAAAAGCUCAAAUUUGAAAUCUGGCUCUUUUAGGGUCCGAGUUGUAAUUUGUAGAAGAUGUUUCGGGUGUGGCUCCGGUUUAAGUUCUUUGGAAUAUUACAUCAUAGAGGGUGAGAAUCCCGUAUGUGACCGGCAGCCUUCGCCUAUGUGAAACUCUUUCGACGAGUCGAGUUGUUUGGGAAUGCAGCUCAAAAUGGGAGGUAUAUUUCUUCUAAAGCUAAAUAUUGGCCAGAGACCGAUAGCGCACAAGUAGAGUGAUCGAAAGAUGAAAAGCACUUUGGAAAGAGAGUUAAACAGUACGUGAAAUUGUUGAAAGGGAAGCGCUUGCAACCAGACUUGCACGCAGUUGAUCAUCCGGUGUUCUCACCGGGGCACUCUGCUGCGUUCAGGCCAGCAUCGGUUUUGGUGGUUGGAUAAAGGCCUUGGGAAUGUGGCUUCCUUCGGGGAGUGUUAUAGCCCUCGGUGCAAUGCAGCCUACCGAGACCGAGGACCGCGCUUCGGCUAGGAUGCUGGCGUAAUGGUUGUAAGCGACC